ACAAACAUAGGAAGUUUCUUCCUGCACCCCAUGGUUUUCACCUACACCCAUGGAAGUGGUGAAAAGACUAUUUUACCCUCAAGUAAAGAAUAAAUAACCUAUUUCCUUAGCUCUUUCAUCUUCAUUUCUUCAUCAGUCACGACACACUCAAGCAGCCCCUCCACGCACCUCCUCUUCUCUUUGGAGUUUUUUUUUUCUCUCCUUCAAUCUUUUAUGUUGUGUCGUAUAACAUUUUCGCAACCUUUCUU
rnacentral:lncRNA from 1 species